rnacentral:SRP_RNA from 1 species
UCGUGCUAAGCGGGGAGGUAGCGGUGCCCUGUACUCGCAAUCCGCUAUAGCGAGGCUGAAUCCCUUUCCGAGGUUGCAGUUUCUCAUGGUCUGCCCUGAGUAAGUGGUGUUGACAUCCGGGUUCUGCGCAACGGAAUCCCGUGAACCCUGUCAGGUCCGGAAGGAAGCAGCAGUAAGCGGGUCGUUCCGUGUGCCGCGGAGUUGCCUGGAUCGAGCAAACUGCUCAGGUAACGCUUGAGAAGCUGUGAUCGACGAAAGGUGCACGG